rnacentral:rRNA from 1 species
AUUGAACGCUGGCGGCAUGCCUUACACAUGCAAGUCGAACGGCAGCACGGGAGCAAUCCUGGUGGCGAGUGGCGAACGGGUGAGUAAUAUAUCGGAAAGUGACCAGUAAUGGGGGAUAGCCCGGCGAAAGCCGGAUUAAUACCGCAUACGACCUACGGGUGAAAGCAGGGGAUGGCAAGACCUUGCGUUAUUGGAGCGGCCGAUAUCAGAUUAGCUAGUUGGUGGGGUAAAAGCCUACCAAGGCGACGAGCUGUAGCUGGUCUGAGAGGACGACCGGCCACACUGGGACUGAGACACGGCCCAGACUCCUGCGGGAGGCAGCAGUGGGGAAUUUUGGACAAUGGGCGCAAGCCUGAUCCAGCCAUGCCGCGUGUGGGAAGAAGGCCUUCGGGUUGUAAACCACUUUUGUCAGGGAAGAAACGCUCUGGGCUAAUACCCUGGGGUAAUGACGGUACCUGAAGAAUAAGCACCGGCUAACUACGUGCCAGCCGCCGCCGUAAGAC